rnacentral:rRNA from 1 species
AUUUAACGCUGGCGGCAGGCCUAACACAUGCAAGUCGAGCGAGUGGCGGACGUGUGAGUAAUGUAUGGGGAACUGCCUGAUAGAGUGGGAUAACUACUGGAAACGGUUGCUAAUACCGCAUACCAUCCGAUGAACCCAUAUGGUAUUGGAUAGUAGGUGGGGUAAAGGCUCACCUAGGCGCCGAUCUCUAGCUGGUCUGAGAGGAUGAUCAGCAACAUGGGGAGUGGGACACGGCCCAGACUCCUACGGGAGGCAGCAGUGGGGAAUAUUGAACAAUGGGCGCAAGCCGGAUGCAGCCAUGCCGGGUGUAUGAAGAAGGCCUUAGGGUUGUAAAGUACGUUCAGCGGGGAGGCGUUACCCGCAGAAGAAGCACCGGAUAACUACGUGCCAGCAGCCGCGGUAAUAC